GAUUACCAUCUGCUGUGACAGAUCCUGUGUCCUCACAGCCUUUCUGAGCCUUUCUGAGCUGCAGUCAGGACACUACAGAGAGGUUUAAAAUGUCUUUCCUCUCGACAAGUAGCAACAAGCAUGUGGUGAUACAUGCUGGAAGCAUCGGCCUGGCCAUCAUCUCUCAGGUGAUCGUGGACAUUUUUGUUGUUCUGGCUGAAGAUGGCAGCGUCCCUAAUGCUCUGUUUCAGACCUCAUCCAGGAAUGUAUCAGAGACCUUCCCCCUGGAGGCGACUAUGGACUGGUGGUCAGAAUAUUUCUCUUUCAUGAUUGACUGGUGGUCUAAGGCUUGGCUUGUUUAUGCAGUGGUCAGCCUUUAUAGAAGAAACGUGCUGGGUCCUGAGUCUUGCAACCCAGAAAUCCACCCUCCAGUAUUCUAUCAGAUGUGGACCAUGAUUAAUGUUGCAAGGAUGUGCAGCAUGCCUCUGUGGGACAGACACUACAUAUUCGGAGCUGUGUUAAUCAGAUGGAUUCCACCAGUCCUCAGCUUCUACAUGCUCUACAUGUCCUACGUCAACCUUAACAAGCACAAAGCCUGGCUAGCAAUCAACAGCCCUGGAGUGAUCUCAUGGACACAAUACCUGACCCAGAAUGGCCUGGCAGUGUUUGCCUGGUGGUCCCUCUUGAAUGCUGUGCUGGGCAUUGGCAUAGUGCUCAGGUACAAUGCUGGUGUGCCCGACCCACUGAUCAGCACCCUUGUUCUCACCAUAAUCACCUUGUACAUCAUCACCU
rnacentral:lncRNA from 1 species